rnacentral:misc_RNA from 1 species
CCGAAGUAUAGGCCCCUCGUGGGCUGAACUUCCACCCUUUGUUUACAUUACCAUUGUUGCUUUGGCGGGCCCGCCCCUAAAGGCCACCGGCUUCACCGCUGGUGAGCGCCCGCCAGAGACCCCUAAACCCAAACCAUUUACAGUAUCGUCUGAGAAAACUUUUAAUUAUUUA